rnacentral:piRNA from 1 species
UUAGUUCUUUGCAUAGUACCU